GACGAACGCUGGCGGCGUGCUUAACACAUGCAAGUCGAACGGUGAAGCGCCUUCCUUGUUGGUGGGUGUGGAGGAGUGGCGGACGGGUGAGUAACACGUGAGUAACCUUCCCCCUUCUUCUGGAUAACCGCAUGAAAGUGUGUCUAAUACAGGAUAUUCUGGGUCUGUCGCAUGGUUGGUCUGUGAAGGAUGUUGUUUCUGUGGUGGAUGGGCUCGCGGCCUGUCAGCUUGUUGGGGGGGUGAUGGCCUACCAAGGCGGUGACGGGUAGCCGGCCUGAGAGGGUGGACGGUCAGACUGGGACUGAGACAAGGGCGAGACUCAUACGGGAGGCAGCAGUGGGGAAUAGGGAACAAUGGGGGGAAGUGUGAUGCAGCGACGAGGCGUGAGGGAUGGAGGCCUUCGGGUUGUGAACCUCUUUCGCCAGUGAAGCAGGCCUGCCUCGUUUGUGGGUGGAUUGACGGUAGCUGGAUAAGAAGCGCCGGCUAACUACGUG
rnacentral:rRNA from 1 species